rnacentral:rRNA from 1 species
AUGAACGCUGGCGGCGUGCCUAAUACAUGCCAGUCGAGCGAACGGACGAGAAGCUUGCUUCUCUGAUGUUAGCGGCGGACGGGUGAGUAACACGUGGAUAACCUACCUAUAAGACUGGGAUAACUUCGGGAAACCGGAGCUAAUACCGGAUAAUAUUUUGAACCGCAUGGUUCAAAAGUGAAAGGCGGUCUUGCUGUCACUUAUAGAUGGAUCCGCGCUGCAUUAGCUAGUUGGUAAGGUAACGGCUUACCAAGGCAACGAUGCAUAGCCGACCUGAGAGGGUGAUCGGCCACACUGGAACUGAGACACGGUCCAGACUCCUACGGGAGGCAGCAGUAGGGAAUCUUCCGCAAUGGGCGAAAGCCUGACGGAGCAACGCCGCGUGAGUGAUGAAGGUCUUCGGAUCGUAAAACUCUGUUAUUAGGGAAGAACAUAUGUGUAAGUAACUGUGCACAUCUUGACGGUACCUAAUCAGAAAGCCACGGCUAACUACGUG